CCUACGUGAGGCAGCAGUGAGGAAUAUUGGUCAAUGGGAGAGAUCCUGAACCAGCCAAGCCGCGUGAGGGAAGACGGCCCUAUGGGUUGUAAACCUCUUUUGCCGGAGAACAAAACCCGGGACGUGUCCCGGACUGCGUGUAUCCGGAGAAAAAGCAUCGGCUACCUCCGUGCCAGCAGCCGCGGUAAUACGGAGGAUGCGAGCGUUCUCCGGAUUUAUUGGGUUUAAAGGGUGCGUAGGCGGUCCGUUAAGUCAGCGGUAAAAUGGCGGGGCUCAACCCCGUCGAGCCGUUGAAACUGGGAGACUUGAGUGGGCGAGAAGUACGCGGAAUGCGCGGUGUAGCGGUGAAAUGCAUAGAUAGCGCGCAGAACUCCGAUUGCGAAGGCAGCGUACCGGCGCCAGACUGACGCUGAAGCACGAAGGCGUGGGGAUCGAACAGGAUUAGAUACCCUAGUAGUC
rnacentral:rRNA from 1 species